UUCUAUAAAAUUAACUUUACUCUGUCCUAAAACCUCUCAGACUACAGAAAAAGAUCCAAAUCUGUUCCAAGUGACCAGGCUCAUUAGAACACUGAAGACAUGAACAGCAAUAAGAAGAAUUUACACUUGUUUAGAAGUCACACAAAAAGUAGAAUUUAUUCAGUUCUUCACUUUCCCAAGUACAGUUUUGUUGGCUUCAAGGGGUUGUUCCCAAAUUACAUUGGUGUCAUGCUGGAAUGAAAUCAACUCAGUUCAAGCACCUCAAACAUCACUCUCACCUGCAAAACAUCACUGGCUUCGACCAGUCUCAAAGGUACAAGAGGUGGAAGAUGAAAGAAAGGUACAGCUAGAGAAUCAACCACCUAAGCAUCAUAAUGCUAAAUAUUUGUUCACUUGCAGUAAGUCCUGGAGUGCUCCCUGUUUACCCACGAGGAUUUCAGCAUAGAGGCUUGCUCCAGAAAGGUUAAAGUCAGUGAGCAAAAACCAUGUGCAUUUGGUGGAUGGUUGUUCUGCAAAGAUGACUGACAGAAGGCAAAAAAUACAACUACAGGAGCAUGGCACAGCAGAAAUCAGCUCAUUGGAGAUGGCAGAUGGACAGAACAGUAGUAGUUAUGCUUAAUUUUAUAUUUUUGCCAUUAUUUUGUUCAUUAAAUAUUUAAAAAAUCAUUUGGGCAAUUGUACCAGUGGGAUUGUGAUUUGCUAUAAGAUUUAAAGUAUACCUUUGGAUAAUUUCAAA